rnacentral:lncRNA from 1 species
AUACGUGUGUGUAGUGUAUGUGUGUGAUCUGUGUGCGUCUAUGUGUGUGGUCUUGUGUGUGCAUCUAUGUGUGUGGUCUUGUGUGUGUGUAUAUGUGUGUGGUCUGUAUGUGUGUGUAUCUGUGUGGGCUGUGUGUGUGUAUAUGCAGGGGGUGUGUGUAUGUGCACAUAGAGGCAGAAGCUGUGGUGAUUACACGAGCUAGAGAACGAUGCUGUCACACAGUCAGGGUGUAAUAAAUACUAGUGUAGUACUGUCAGCAUCAUUAUUACUAUUAGCCCCACUGCUGCUACUGCCAGAAGCUGCCAAGCACGUCACACUUUGCCCCACGCCCUGAACACCCUUUCGCCUGGGCCACAUGCCUCCGCCCCGUGGGCACCUCCCCGGAGAGCUGCCCCAACCUCUUUGGGGCAGACACCCUCCCUCAGUGCCCCUCCCAGGCCUGCACUGACCACUGGACAGGUCAGAUGUCUCAAUAGUUUCCUCUGUCCACCAGCAUCCCCUCCCACCUCCUCCCGUGCGCCAUGGCCACUCAAGACAGCGACUCCCCGAUGCCUGAGCCUCAGCUCCCCGCAGAGGGCGGGCCACAGAGGAGCGUGCGCAGACGUCUGGGGCCGACUUCACUCCCAUCCAGGCACUGAACCUUGGUCCGCUCGUAGCAGACUCACGGAGCAGGAGGCCAGUGGCCUGGAGCUGAGACCUGGGAAUGCACCACCAGAGUCUGGGCCACCACACCCUCGACGGUGGAGCCACCACAGGGCUGGGCAGCAGGGCUUGGCUCCCAGCAGUACCAGACCGGGUUCUGCGUCUUCGAGGCUUCGAGACAGGCCACGCGGCCUGGAGCUUCUCUCUUCACCUUCUCAUCCUCUGAGCCAUCUCCUGGGGGCUCUCUUUCAUCUUGUUUUAUGCCAAUAACACUCUUUAAGGGGAAAGAAAAGAUUACAUUAACAUCCCUGAAACAAUAGAUGCUCCAUAACGUGGAAAAAACUAAAGAUGGCGCUUAUUACUCUGUUUAGGUGUGCCUUAAGCAUUUUAUUUGUGAACCUGCUCAUUCCUUUAUUCUCUGUUGCCAUAGCGAUCCUUUCAUGGGGCUGGCAGAUAUGGGAAUAAAUAUCAAAGGAAGGCUGUGGAGUCUCCUUCU